GAUGAACGCUGGCGGCGUGCCUAAUACAUGCAAGUCGAGCGAACAGAUGAGGAGCUUGCUCCUCUGACGUUAGCGGCGGACGGGUGAGUAACACGUGGAUAACCUACCUAUAAGACUGGGAUAACUUCGGGAAACCGGAGCUAAUACCGGAUAAUAUAUUGAACCGCAUGGUUCAAUAGUGAAAGACGGUUUUGCUGUCACUUAUAGAUGGAUCCGCGCCGCAUUAGCUAGUUGGUAAGGUAACGGCUUACCAAGGCAACGAUGCGUAGCCGACCUGAGAGGGGGAUCGGCCACACUGGAACGGAGACACGGUCCAGACUCCUACGGGAGGCAGCAGUAGGGAAUCUUCCGCAAUGGGCGAAAGCCUGACGGAGCAACGCCGCGUGAGUGAUGAAGGUCUUCGGAUCGUAAAACUCUGUUAUUAGGGAAGAACAAAUGUGUAAGUAACUAUGCACGUCUUGACGGUACCUAAUCAGAAAGCCACGGCUAACUACGUG
rnacentral:rRNA from 1 species